rnacentral:piRNA from 1 species
ACGCGGAGGAUGUCUACAGUCGGCUG